rnacentral:rRNA from 1 species
UAUUAGUGGCAGACGGGUGAGUAAUGCAUAGGAAUCUACCUAGUAGUAUGGAAUAGCCAUUAGAAAUGAUGGGUAAUACUGUAUAAUCCCUGCGGGGGAAAGAUUUAUCGCUAUUAGAUGAGCCUAUGUUAGAUUAGUUAGUUGGUAAGGUAAUGGCUUACCAAGACUAUGAUCUAUAGCUGGUCUGAGAGGACGAUCAGCCACACUGGAACUGAGAUACGGUCCAGACUCCUACGGGAGGCAGCAGUGGGGAAUAUUGGACAAUGGGCGAAAGCCUGAUCCAGCUAUGCCGCGUGAGUGAAGAAGGCCUUCGGGUUGUAAAGCUCUUUCAAUAGGGAAGAUAAUGACGGUACCUAUAG